UCUUGAAUUUCUUCAUCCCAAUUUUUUUUCCCUGUGGAGUCAACAUCAAAGUCUUCCCCUCUCCGCCAUCCUCCUUUCUCUUCAAUUUCUUCAUCCCAUCCAGUGUUUCCUGAGUUUCAGAACCUCACCGUCUCUUCCCGCAUCCUUCCCAUCUAGUCAUCAUGGCUGACAAGAUACUGAGUUAACAGUUAAAAAGUCGGUCAACUCACUCCCUCGUCCUGGUAUUACUUUCCCACUCCGAACGAUCACCAACCACCAUCCCUUAGCUCUCUCC
rnacentral:lncRNA from 1 species